GUUAUUUCUAUCAUGAUUCUUUAUUUCUGUGGUUGUUUUAUGCUAAAUAACGCAAAUGUUCGAACCAUAAAUCAGAAUGUAAUGCUUAUAACAGUUGUGGAAAUUCAAAAAUCGCAAAAAAGCACUGUUACUUUUGGGAAUUUAAUCAUUAACGCAUUAAAAGAAUACAACUUCAACUUAAUAUCAAAAUUUUUAAAAUGAUAAAUAUUUAUUGUUGAAGCGGACUCGGCCAAAAAGUUGGUGCUUGGUAGCGAUUAGGUGUGCCUUUUUUAUUGUCCUGCAUUGGGCACCUUGGUGUAUUCUAUAACAUAAAAAAAAAA